UGUCUCCAUUCGAUGUCGUCGUCGCCUCUAGCAUCACCACACCUUCAAUGUGGGGCUCCUGGCCCAGGAUUAAUUUUGUUCGAGCUUCUUCAUGCCUAUCUUCAUUGGAUGGUCUCCCCUCACACCUGUGAGUCUGUGACGCUUAGACAUCACGACCGAGCGAAGUGGUUUGUUGCUUGGCCUUCUAGCCGCACAUCAUCUCUCAGGAAGGAUUUGAAGGAAAAGAUAUAUAUAUACCUCUUCUGCGGGGGGCCAUGGCAACGAUGGAAGAGAGCAUGGUGCAUGCGUAGCUGCCCACUACACAAGUAACACUAACAAUGCAAGCCCCCCUAUGGUUACAGGCCAUCGUCCAUGGCCACUAGAUCUCCCAACAGCGCUCUACCACCACAACAUGGGUCGCAAUGCAAUAUUAAGGAGACAUUGUAAGGUUGUUUGGCAGGUUGACAAACUCUUAUCGGUCAUGGUUGUUUGGCAGAUCAUCAAGGACGGACUGACCUUCUUCAAUUCUAAUGUUGCUUGCAUUAGUUUUUUCUCUUUUGUCUAUAUAUGCCGCACAGCCACUACUACAAAAAUAAUUUGUAGGAACGCCCCGAUUUUUUUAGGGACUGGACAAAAAUUCACCCAUUGGUACAAAUAGAACGGGGCUAGUGGUGGUGGCUGGUUGGCUAGGAUAAUUUUUUUUCUUUUUAAUUUUGCUAUUUUUGAUUUUUUUUGAACCUUUUUUAUUUUCUAGACAAAGAUUUGUAGGGGCGGGCCAUGGCAUGACCCGCCCCUAGAAAUCAAUUUUUAUGGACGGGUCACGCCAUGACCCGCCUCUAAAAAUCAUUUUUAGGGAUGGGUGGAUGACCCGCCCCUGAAAAUGGCAUUUUUAGCUGCCAAAACUAGGAAUGGUACCGCAUCCGCCUCUAAAAAUACGAUUUUACCCGCCCCUGAAAAUCAUUUUUGCAGUAGUGAGCGCCAGCAAAGAGAUAUUAAAGAUGGUAAAUGUUAUGCUAUUUAAUAAUUAUAAUGGCGUGGAGACGCUCUCCCAGGAUCACCCCAUGGACGUUCGACUUGGCUACUUAUAUGUGUCAUGUCAUCAUGUGACUGUACGUGCACGCACGCAUGGCUUUGGCCACAAAGAUGCUGACAAGGACAAGGAUAUCAUUUCUGUUCGACCAUGCAUUCUUGCGAUCGAAACAAGUCUUUUUGAUAAGAUUCUUGCGAAACUAGUUGAACGGCAAAUUCGGGCCUCAAGAUGUAGAUUGCUCAAGAUGGACCAAGGCCCCAUGGCCGCCGCGAAGGUCAACGUCGUUAGGAUAGAUGCCAGGAACGGGAACCAAAUUUGGUCCAAGCAGUUCAUCAGCCAAUAAAGAAAAGGAUAAAAUUAUGUACUUCCUUUUUCGAUGAAAAGUUUUUGCGCCAUUUUCUCUUCAGAUACAAGAUACCAGUAUUAUAUUGUUGUUUGGCACCUUAAUUACCAGACUUCUGAUUGUUGCCAACAUGUCGUUAUAUAUAUUAGUGGUGGAUCGGAACUUCUCUUAAUCCGAAGCAUAGUAUUACAAUUAGUAAGAUUAGCCAGCCUUCUUAAAACCAUGUGUGAGAAAAUUUGACUGUUACAUGGAGGUGGAGGAUUUCCAUUUUGGCA